UACAGAGGUCUCAAGCGUUGUUCGGAUUCAUUGGGCGUAAAGGGUGCGUAGGUGGCGCCGUAAGUCAGGUGUGAAAUCUCGGGGCUUAACUCCGAAACUGCAUUUGAUACUGCGGUGCUUGAGGACUGGAGAGGAGACUGGAAUUUACGGUGUAGCAGUGAAAUGCGUAGAGAUCGUAAGGAAGACCAGUGGCGAAGGCGGGUCUCUGGACAGUUCC
rnacentral:rRNA from 1 species